rnacentral:rRNA from 1 species
UACGAAGGGUGCAAGCGUUAAUCGGGAUUACUGGGCGUAAAGCGUGCGUAGGCGGUUUGUUAAGUCUGUUGUGAAAUCCCCGGGCUCAACCUGAGAAUGGCAAUGGAUACUGGCAGGCUAGAGUGUGUCAGAGGAUGGUGGAAUUCCCGGUGGAGCGGUGAAAUGCGUAGAUAUCAUUUGGAACGCCAAUGGUGAAAACAGGUAACUGGGAGUGUGCUGACGCUGAGACACGAAAGCCAGGGGAGCGAACGGG